GGGGCCUGCCGCCGCCACCGCCUCAGGGAAGAGGAAGGAGGCCGCGGCUUCGCGUCCCGCCUCUCGCCUGGCUGGCCGUGGGGGGCCUGGACGCAGUGGCCUCCCGAAUCUCCCAGGACCCUAAUAUCGCCCGAGGAUGCUGGGAGGAACGCUGAGCCGACCUCUCCGUUAGGCUGAAGAUUGCACAAACCAUGCUAAUGGCCAGCAUGGAUGGAGGGAGCGUGUGAGAUGUGUGGGGCAGCGUGCUGCAUCUCAGCCAACUCCAGGAGCCAGUUGAUGUGAUGGACUACCUUAAUUGAUUUUUGAAUGUUGAGCCAGCCUUAUGCAUGUGGGAUAAACCCCUGUUGAUCAUGGCUGGCUGGAGUGCAGUGGUGCAAUCAUGGCUCACUGCAACCUCAAAUUCCUGGGCUCAAGGGAUCCUCCUGCCUCAGCCUCCCAAGUAGCUAGGACUACAGAUGGAACGAAGUCUGUUUGUGGAAACACCCUUCCCCUCUGUUUACUUGGACCUGAUUUUGAAAGUAACAAGUCACUUUAUUUGGGCUGGAGGAAAAAGCACUAAACCAGAUGUUGAGGUGACCGGGAUUCCUGGAAGACAUUCUUCUCUCCAACGAGACACAUGAUGCAUGAAGUAGGAGCCCCUGGCAAGGAGCCCAGGCUGCCAUGGCCUCGCUCGCUCCUGCUUCCCGGCAUGGCCCCGAGGCUAGCUGCCUCUGUACUGCCUGAGCAUCGUCCCCUGGCGUGUCACCAGACUACCCACUACCUGUGCUUGCACCUGCAGGUGGGCAGUUCAGUCGUUGCAGGCUGAAGCUCCCUGUCACAGGAGUCCAUCAGCACUGGAGUUUACCAAAUGGCCCAGUCCAGGAAGCAUGCUCAUGGCAAUACCCGGAGUCUCCACUGCAAGACCAGAGUGACGGAGGCAGCAGAGCUCCUCAGCAGGCCAGGAGUCUCCAGAGGCACUGCCGAAUGUCUAAGAAGCAACCUCAUUGUAUUCCCAAGACCUGGGAAUCCAGGUCUCGCAGAUACGAUGAUACAAUCUAUAGCCAGGACAUCUCUUCAUGUGUAGUUUUCAAUGAAUACUAGGAUAAGCAACUAUCCCAGUCUUCCCAGGAUUGAGGGGCUUCUCCAGAUGCUGCACUUCUGGUGCUAAAAAUGAGAAACUGAAAUGAAUUAGUCACCCAAGGAAUGCUGACCCUGUGCUAUAUGAUCACAUUUACUCUUUAAAGCAAUGCUUUGAGAACAAUUGAGCUGCAUAGUCCCUGCAAUCUUAUAAAGGCAUUUGGCCUGGAAGAUGCUCUGCAGCCAUGUGCCAAGAAUAACGGCUAUAGGGACAAUGUUUCAUUAACCCCAAAGCAGCAACCUGAACCUCUUACUGUACAAUAUCUGCUCCGUUCAGAAUUAGCUCGACUUGAGUCACAGGAUGAAGCUUACCAAAAGGAAUUUCCACGUCCAAGGAAGGAACCAAGAUCACUGAGAGGUUAUAGUAUGAAAAGUGAAGAGAAAAAACCUAUUCUAAACAUUUUAUUAAUUGUCAAUAAUUAUUUUAAAAUAUUUAAUAUAGUCUCCUACCUGGUCCACUGGCAUCAAGCUGCCAAAUUUACACGGUCACUUUGGGAAGCCAGCUGGCAGGCAAACAUGGAAAGUGCUGGCUCCUAGCGUAGUGAGAAGACCACAGAUAGAUGGUAAUUUUCUUCUUUGUUUUAUUUUUCUUUUUCUUCUCUCCCUCUUUUUCUUCCCUCUUGCCUUUCCCUCCCAUUGCCCACUUUCUUUUUUUGGCUGCCGAAGAUUUAUUGCCUUUCAGUACUUAUAGAUGAUGUUUUCAUAAGUUCUAAUGAGGUCCCAGCAGUUUUUAACAAUAACAGGACAUUACUGUUCCUAAGAUAUAUUAUGUGUUUUCCCUCAUCUUUCUCCCUUGAAUGAAAUGCUUAGAAGUAGGCUAACCCCCAAUUCCCUUCCCUUUACUAUGAUAAAUGGCUCCAUUACUUAAUAGGGCUAAAUACUCUGCUGUGACUUUUAUACUGCUGAUUUGAAUAAAAUCUUACGAAAAGCUUUUCUCGUGU
rnacentral:lncRNA from 1 species